AGGAGUGGCGAACGGGUGAGUAACACGUGGGUAACCUGCCCAUCAGAAGGGGAUAACACUUGGAAACAGGUGCUAAUACCGUAUAACAAUCGAAACCGCAUGGUUUUGAUUUGAAAGGCGCUUUCGGGUGUCGCUGAUGGAUGGACCCGCGGUGCAUUAGCUAGUUGGUGAGGUAACGGCUCACCAAGGCGACGAUGCAUAGCCGACCUGAGAGGGUGAUCGGCCACAUUGGGACUGAGACACGGCCCAAACUCCUACGGGAGGCAGCAGUAGGGAAUCUUCGGCAAUGGACGAAAGUCUGACCGAGCAACGCCGCGUGAGUGAAGAAGGUUUUCGGAUCGUAAAACUCUGUUGUUAGAGAAGAACAAGGAUGAGAGUAACUGUUCAUCCCUUGACGGUAUCUAACCAGAAAGCCACGGCUAACUACGUG
rnacentral:rRNA from 2 species